AGAUAAGUGUUUUGUAAUGAUUUAAAAUAAUUUCAUUUCAGGUGGUGCAUAAACAGUUCAAUUCACCAAUUGGAUUAUAUUCUGAUCACAACAUUACUGAGACAAUUCAGUCACAAACAGGAAUUACACCGAACAAUGCAAGAGUAGGAACUUCAACGCUGAAUCCACGAAAUCAAAGCAAAGUGAGGCAAGUAAAAAAACUGGAACAAAUUACAGAAUGUAGCGACUUCUUUCUGCUCACUGCCUUCUUACAUAAGCUCAGUGUUGCAAAGUACACUACAGUAAUGGUCCAGUGUAACAUUAUUUCUAAAUUUACUAUUAUAAAAGGAGGUUGCUUUUAGACAGUAACGACAAACACUCUUUUGGUUGGCAGAAAUUCUGCUAAAAUCCCAUGUGUAUUUAGUCUGAACCAACAAUGAAAAUUGGUAUAGAAAC